UACGUAGGUGGCAAGCGUUGUCCGGAAUUACUGGGCGUAAAGAAUGCGUAGGCGGCUUUUUAAGUGGGAUGUGAAAUCCCUGGGCUCAACCCAGGAACUGCAUUCCAAACUGGAGAGCUAGAGUGUGGGAGAGGAAAAUGGUAUUCCCAGUGUAGCGGUGAAAUGCGUAGAGAUUGGGAGGAACACCAGUAGCGAAGGCGAUUUUCUGGAACAUAACUGACGCUGAGGCAUGAAAGCGUGGGGAGCAAAC
rnacentral:rRNA from 1 species